GGCCUGGUACUUCAGUUGGUUGGUGUGCCAGGCUGGCACGCUGGAGGUGGAGGGUUCGAGCCCCUUCCAGGUCGCCA
rnacentral:tRNA from 1 species